AGUAGUGAUCGUGAAUCAUCGAAUCUUUGAACGCAACUUGCACCUGAUAGCAAUUGUUAUCAGGUAUACUUGUUUGAGUAUCAUCAACGCCCUCUCACCUAAUAGUGGGGAAUUGAGCGUCUUGAAAUAGUCGCUUUAAAAGGAGACCUGGAGUGCCUAUGAACGCAAGGUCUAUUGGGAUAACAUCCUAACAAUAGACUGUUCACAAGGACGUUGGCAACAACACUGGGAAACGUCUUCGGACAACUUUUGAACACUGAUCUCAAAUCAAGUAAGGAUACCCGCUGAAUUUAAGCAUAUCAAUAAGCGGAGG
rnacentral:rRNA from 1 species